rnacentral:rRNA from 1 species
UAAUACAGAGACCCCGAGCGUUAUCCGGAAUCACUGGGCGUAAAGCGUCUGUAGGCGGCUUAAAUAGUCAGAUGUUAAAUCCUAGAGCUCAACUUUAGGAUCGCAUCUGAAACGUUUAGGCUAGAGCUUGCUAGAGGCUGAUGGAACUUGCGAAGUAGCAGUGAAAUGUGUUGAUAUCGCAAGGAACACCAAAAGCGGAGGCAUUCAGCUGGGGCAAGGCUGACGCUGAGAGACGAAAGCGUGGGUAGCGAAGGGGAUUAGAUACCCCCGUAGUCCACGCCGUAAACAAUGGACACUAGGCAUUUUAAGUGUCGACCCUUGGAGUGUCGCAGCUAACGCGUUAAGUGUCCCGUCUGGGAAGUACGAGCGCAAGCUUA